rnacentral:lncRNA from 1 species
UGCCAAACAUGCCACAAAAGCUUUUGAAAAUUAGAGUUUCACUCCAUUAUUUGUCUGGCUGAGAUAUAAGGGCCAAACAACUGUUCAUGGGGUGGCAGAGGAAACACUCCCCAUGUCCUUAGCUGAUUCCUCUCUUACCACAAACUGACACACAUAAAAACAAAUAAAUACUUCAAGUGGCACUAUUUAAGGCUUUACCGUUUACUUUGGGUCUAUAUGGAUCUGCAAUCAGGCCC